rnacentral:tRNA from 1 species
AAGUGAGAAGCAAAUAUUUGCAGCCAGUUUCGACCUGACCUUAGAUAAAACCUUUUAUCCUCACUUU